AUCGAACGCUGGCGGCAGGCCUAACACAUGCAAGUCGAGCGAGCGGCGGACGGGUGAGUAAUGUAUGGGGACUGCCCGUUAGAGGGGGAUAACUCCUGGAAACGGUAGCUAAUACCGCAUACUAUCGGAUAACCCAUAUGGGAUUAGCUAGUAGGUGAGGUAAUGGCUCACCUAGGCGACGAUCCCUAGCUGGUCUGAGAGGAUGAUCAGCCACAAUGGGACUGAGACACGGCACAGACUCCUACGGAGGCAGCAGUGGGGAAGAUUGCGCAAUGGGCGCAAGCCGGAUACAGCCAAGCCGCGUGUGUGAAGAAGGCCAUAGGGUUGUAAAGUACGUUCAGUCGGGAGGCGUUACCGACAGAAGAAGCACCGGCUAACUCCGUGCCAGCAGCCGCGGUAAUUC
rnacentral:rRNA from 1 species